GCGGAUGUAGCUCAAUGGUUGAGCGCCGCACUGUGGAUGCGGUGGUUGCGGGUUCGAAUCCCGUCAUCCGCC
rnacentral:tRNA from 1 species